rnacentral:rRNA from 1 species
AUGCCCGCGGGCCUCCCUUCUCUUGGGUUGUCGCCGUUGUGCACAUGCACGCAACGUCUUCCGUUCUCUGCCGGCUGCCGGAGUUUUCCUCUACGCUUUCAUGGCGGCCAUGGUGCUCCAAUCCCGAGUUUCCAGCGUCGCUACCUGGCCCGUGCAAGGUCCAAGCAGGGCGAGAAGGAUGCCGGAGCCAGCCACAACCACAACCAUUCCUCUGUGUGCAUGCGUGAAUUCUGUUGUGUGUCGUCAGCUUGCUUUCUAUUUGCUGCUGCUUGCUUACUGCUUUCUGUAUUGUUAUAG